rnacentral:rRNA from 1 species
UACAGGGGGGGCAAGCGUUGUUCGGAAUUACUGGGCGUAAAGGGCCCGUAGGCGGCUAACUAAGUCCGACGUGAAAUCCCCAGGCUUAACUUGGGAACUGCGUCGGAUACUGGUUGGCUUGAAUUCGGGAGAGGGAUGCAGAAUUCCAGGUGUAGCGGUGAAAUGCGUAGAUAUUGGGAAGAACACCGGUGGCGAAGGCGGCGACCUGGUCCGAUACUGACGCUGAGGCGCGAAAGCGUGGGGAGCAAACAGG